GACGAACGCUGGCGGCGUGCUUAACACAUGCAAGUCGAACGGAAAGGCCUCUUUCGGGGGGUACUCGAGUGGCGAACGGGUGAGUAACACGUGAGUAACCUGCCCUUGACUUUGGGAUAACUUCAGGAAACUGGGGCUAAUACCGGAUAGGAGCUCCUGCUGCAUGGUGGGGGUUGGAAAGUUUCGGCGGUUGGGGAUGGACUCGCGGCUUAUCAGCUUGUUGGUGGGGUAGUGGCUUACCAAGGCUUUGACGGGUAGCCGGCCUGAGAGGGUGACCGGCCACAUUGGGACUGAGAUACGGCACAGACUCCUACGGGAGGCAGCAGUGGGGAAUACUGCACAAUGGGUGGAAGCCUGAUGCAGCAACGCCGUGUGCGGGAUGACGGCCUUCGGGUUGUAAACCGCUUUCGCUCAUGACGAAGCUUUGUGUGACGGUAGUGGGUAAAGAAGCACCGGCUAACUACGUG
rnacentral:rRNA from 1 species